rnacentral:rRNA from 1 species
UACGUAGGGUGCAAGCGUUAAUCGGAAUUACUGGGCGUAAAGCGUGCGCAGGCGGUUUUGUAAGUCAGAUGUGAAAUCCCCGGGCUUAACCUGGGAACUGCGUUUGAAACUACAAGGCUAGAGUGUGGCAGAGGGGGGUGGAAUUCCACGUGUAGCAGUGAAAUGCGUAGAGAUGUGGAGGAACACCGAUGGCGAAGGCAGCCCCCUGGGUUAACACUGACGCUCAGGCACGAAAGCGUGGGAAGCAAACAGG